CUUUAAAUCUCCUCAAAUAUCUUUGAAUUAAUUCAAAAGGAGAAUAGACUAUUAUAUUUGGCCAAAUAACAUUUCUGUUGCUCUUCCAUAAUUCCUGAUGUCCCAAAUUUCUUCCUGAUAUCAUUUUCCUUCUGUCUGAAGUACUUCCAUUAUAAUCCUUUUAGGUUCACUAACAACGCAAUCUCUUUGUUUCCUUCAUCUGUAAAUAUCUUAUUUACCCCUUCAUUCCUGAAAGAUGUUUUGAUAGACAUGGAAUUCUGGGUUGAUGGUUCUUUUCUUUAAAAAUAUGGAGACUUGGGGCUGGGAUUUAGCUCAGUGGUUCUGCUGCUUGCCUUGCAAGCACAAGGACCCAAGUUCAAUCCUUGGUAUCAAAAAAAAAUGGAGACUUUCGUUACUGGCCUCAUGGCUUCUAAUGAGAAUUUUGCAGUGGGUUAAAUCAUUAUUCUUCUGUAAGCGAUGCAUCCUUUUUGUCUGGAUGCUUUCAAGAUACUCUUCUUUGUUUUUAGUUUUCAGCAGUUUAAUUAUGGCAUGUCUAGGCAGGGAUUUCUCUAGGUCUAUUCUGUUUGGGGUUUGCUAAGUUUCUUGAAUCUGUAGAUUUAUCUUUUAUCAAAUUUAUGACUUUUUCAGCAAUUAUAAUAAUAAUAUAUGUAUAUAUCUAUCCAUAUUUCCACUUCUCCUUAUGGGAUUCUGGUGAUACAAAUGACAUAUUUUAGCAUUUUCUCACAGGUCCUUGAUGUUUUCAUUUUUAUUUCAAGACUUUUGAGUUGUUCAGAUUGGAUAAUUUCUAUCGAUCUAUCUUAAAGUUCACAAAUUCUUUUUUCAUCUCCAUUAUACUAUUGAACCCAUCCAGUGGGAUUUUAACUUGGUUAUUAUCUUUUUCACUUUCUUUCUUUCUUUUUUUUUUGUGGUACCAGUGAUCGAACUCAGGAUGUUGCACUUGCAAGGCAGGCGCGGUGCCACUGACCUAAAUCCCUGGCCCUAUCUUUUUCACUUUUAAAAUUUCCAUUUGUUUUGUUUUUAGAUUGUCUCUCUUUUCUUGAGGGGGGGGAGGUGCUGGGGAUUGAAACUAGGUCCUGACCCAUACUACCAAGUGCUCUGGCACUGAGCUACAUCUGCAGUCCAAGUGUAUCUCUGUUUUGUGCCAAGACUUUCUAUUUUUACAUUUGUUUCAAGUUUUCAUGAUUGCUUGUUGAACCAGGGCCUUUGUACUGAGCUACAACUCCAACCAUUUUAAAAUUAUUUAGUUUUAUUUUUUUGCGACAGAGUCUUGCUAAGUUGCUAAAUUGCCCAGGCUCGAAUUUGUGAGAUAAUCCCAAUAAAUUGGUCUUCUUUGCAUUCAUGUUUGUUGAUUGUCUUUUAGAAUAUGACCAGUUCUGGGCCGGGGGUUUAGCUCAGUGGUGCCGCCGCCUGCCUUGUAAGCUAAAGGGCCCGAGUUCGAUCCCCGGUACCAAAAAAACAAAAAAAACCCCCAAACAACAACAACCCGAAAAGCAACAAGAAUAUUACUAGUUCUGUCUUCCUGCUGCUCCUUCUCCUUCCCCCCUCCUCCUCUUUCUUCUUUUUUGAGUCAGGAUCUCUCUAUGUAGUUCAGGCUGUCCUUGAACUUCCCUUUGUAGUCCAGGCUUGCCUCAAAUUCACAGCAAUCCUCCUGCUUCAACCUCCCAAGUGGUGGGAUUACAGUGGUGUGCCAGCACACCUGGCCCGGUUCUUCAUAUUCUGAAUGUAAUUUUGAAUCAUAGGCUGAACAUUUUGAAUAUUAGGUUAUGAGACUAUCGGUAUUGUGUAAAUCCUGUGGAAUAUGUUGCCAUUGCUAUUUUGGCAGGAAGUGUACAUUACAGGUAGCUGUGAGACUGAACAAAAGUUACUCCAUUUUGUAAUAAGGCCCCAUCUUGUCUGUUUCUGUUACACUUCACCAUGGGGACGUUGAGUUCCCAGAAUGUGCUUGUUGCUGUUCCAAGGAAACCGCAAGUUAGCCUUAUGCCUGUUAUGUAAAGAUUGGUUGCUACACUACCCCAACCGCCAACGUCUCGCUUCUGUACUUUUGCUCGCCAAGUUCCCUCUUGCGACCCCUAUAAAAAGACCUCAGUCCCUGAGCCGGCCCCCUCUCUAAGCUUGGUGCUUGAGGGUGCCGUCUGGCCAGACUAAUAAAGGUCUGUUUUACUUUCACAACUCAUCCGGUGCAUUCUCUCGCGGCUGAUCUUCGCUGUAGUCAGCUCCUCGGAGCGUUUGGUGAGGCCCACGGUCUUACAGUAGCCACCACGGCCCUUGUCCUUGUGGAACUGGAGGAAGGGAGGAAAGUGGGUUAUGGAGGGGCAGAGGGUCAUUUGAAGUUGGGGUAAGUUUUGAGGAGGGACACUAUUUGAGACAACUGAGUCCAAGAGGCAUAAGGAAUUGCUGAGAGGGUAGACUCCGGGGUCCUCAGCCGAGACGUGGAUGUGGGGGCUGGGCGGGGAGUUGCAGUUCGCGGGCAGGCGCAAGCCUCUGUGUGCAUGCCCAAAGUGCAUCUCCCAUCCGCCAAUGUGCACUGAGUGGGUGUCGGGGCGAAGCUCGUGUGCCAGUAGUGUUCCGGCGUCUUGAUUUGUUUUCACCCGUGGGGACGUCGGUGGUAGGUAGGUAGAUGAGUUCUACCAGAAAUUUUAAGUAUGUGAGGGGGAGCCAGUGGACUUGGGUGGGUUGGGCAGUGAUGUCUUGGCUUUUGAAGGAGGAAGGCCUCGAGGUCGUCGUUUUUUUUUCCUUACAGGCAGUACCACCAUGGGGCUUUGUUGUUUGGUGGGUCGGUAUGAGGGAAGACCGUGGACCAGAGAGGGGUGGGGGUGUGGUUCGAGGUAUAUGAGCCCCACAGGGGCCUGAAGCAGCUGACGGAAGACAGAUUUUUGGGUCCCUAGCGGGCACCUGGGGUAGAGGUGGGGCAGGGAGCUGCAGCUCCCCGGCCGUUGCGGGCCUCAGUGCGCAUGUCCACUGCGUGCUUUCUUGGGGAGGCCGCUGAGCACUUGGGGGUGGUUGCGUUCCUAUGGUCUUGACUCCUUUUCAACCACUGUGACGUAGCAGGUAGGUCCCUAGAUCAGUCCUCCCAAAAGUUUAAGUGUGAAUGAGUGUGAGGAAGAGAUUGCAUUUGGGAAGGCCUUGAGGUCAUCGACCUUGCCUUCACAAGCAGAGGCGCUGCUGACUUGGGCCUUGUCAUUUUGGCAAGGCCAGGAUAAGAGAAGCAGGUGGCCUGUGGAAGGAAGGAUUCGGGUGAAGACAGGUGUGAAAUGAGUGAGCAAGUAAAAUCAACACCUAAAUCUGGAGGACAGAGAUGAUGAACCUACUCAGCCUCUUGAACCUGUGGUUGCCCAGCAGCCCAGUAAUGAACAACCUCAACAAGAGGAACCACCUGCUGAAAUUCAAGAUGUUGCACCUGGUCAGGAGAGAGAAGACAGAGUACCUGCGGCUGAGGGUGAAGGGAAGGGAGAAAAACAACCCUUUGGUAUAUGUGUGCCUCAUAUAUGUGCAUAUGUGCCUCAUACUUAUGACAUACCAGAAAAGGAAAAAGAAAACAUUAGAAACAGUGCCUGAAAAUUGGCUGGGACAAUAAAUAAGGUGUAGUUUGUAGCUUAGCUUACAGGAGUCCCCCACUUUGAUAAAAUUUUUCUGUUUUCUAAUUGAGAGAACUGAGGCUCAGGGAUUGUGCUUUAUCAAUGAAUGUUUGACUGGUAAAUAUAAAAUGUGUAUAUUGUUUUAAAGUUUGUGCCCUUCUACUGUCCAUAUUGUUGUAAAACCCAAAAAAAGUAAAUGGUUUUGUUUAAAUACCUAAAACUCAGUUGUCUGCACUGUAAGGUAACUCAGUUGUGUCCUAAAAAUAAACCUUCUUUAGUGGGGAAAGAGCACCUCCAGAAAUUAGUGGAUGAUGGAUACUAUUUCCUUUGAUUGAUUUUUUUAUAAGUUUGAUAAAAGCUGGAUAAUUUAGGAUACUGAAUUUUCAGUAUCAGGGAUGCAAUAUCUAGUUAAGUUUUUUGUUUUUGUUUGUUACUGGGGAUUGGACCCAGGGCCUUUGCACUAGGUUAUAUCCACAACCCUUUUUAUUUUUUACUUUGAGGCAGGAUUGUGCUCAGUUGCUCAGGUAGGACUCAAACUUGUCAUCCUCCUGCCUCAGCCUCCCAAGUAGUUGGGAUUCCAGGUGUUCGCUAUUGCACCUGCUUAUUAUGAUUUUUUUUUUAAAGUGGUUUUGUGGGCUGGGGAUUUAGCUCAGUGGC